rnacentral:rRNA from 1 species
UACGUAGGGACCAAGCGUUGUUCGGAUUUACUGGGCGUAAAGGGCGCGUAGGCGGCGCGGUAAGUCACUUGUGAAAUCUCUGAGCUUAACUCAGAACGGCCAAGUGAUACUGCAGUGCUAGAGUGUGGAAGGGGCAAUCGGAAUUCUUGGUGUAGCGGUGAAAUGCGUAGAUAUCAAGAGGAACACCUGAGGUGAAGACGGGUUGCUGGGCCAACACUGACGCUGAUGUGCGAAAGCGUGGGGAGCAAACAGG